rnacentral:rRNA from 1 species
AAUCAACGCUGGCGGCGCGCUUAACACAUGCAAGUCGCACGAGAAAGUCCGCAAGGAUGAGUAAAGUGGCGCACGGGUGAGUAACACGUGGAUGAUCUACCCUCUAGUGGGGAAUAACCCUGGGAAACCGGGGCUAAUACCGCAUAAGUCCGGGAGGAGAAAGCCGAAAGGCGCUGGAGGAAGAGUCCGCGGUCGAUUAGCUAGUUGGCGGGGUAAAGCCCACCAAGGCUUCGAUCGANAGCCGGCCUGAGAGGGCACACGGCCACACUGGCACUGAAACACGGGCCAGACUCCUACGGGAGGCAGCAGUGGGGAAUCUUGCACAAUGGGGGAAACCCUGAUGCAGCGACGCCGCGUGAGUGAUGAAGCCCUUCGGGUGUAAGACCCUUUCGACGGGAACGAUAAUGACGGUACCCGGAGAAGAAGCUGCGCUAACUACGUGCCA